rnacentral:rRNA from 1 species
AACGAACGCUGGCGGCAUGCCUAACACAUGCAAGUCGAACGAGACCUUCGGGUCUAGUGGCGCACGGGUGCGUAACGCGUGGGAACCUGCCCUUAGGUUCGGAAUAACUCCCCGAAAGGGGUGCUAAUACCGGAUAAUGUCUUCGGACCAAAGAUUUAUCGCCUUUGGAUGGGCCCGCGUUGGAUUAGCUAGUUGGUAGGGUAAAAGCAUACCAAGGCGACGAUCCAUAGCUGGUCUGAGAGGAUGAUCAGCCACACUGGGACUGAGACACGGCCCAGACUCCUACGGGAGGCAGCAGUGGGGAAUAUUGGAAAAUGGGCGAAAGGCUGAUCCAGCAAUGACGCGUGAGUGAUGAAGGCCUUAGGGUUGUAAAGCUCUUUUACCCGGGAUGAUAAUGACAGUACCGGGAGAAUAAGCUCCGGCUAACUCCGUG